AUGAAGCGGAAGAAAGAAGGUGAUCAACUCUUUGUUGCCGAGUCUUCUCUGCCAGUGACUUAUGACAACAUUGGAUAUGCUAACAAUACUGAACGAGACAUGGAAGGACCGGAGAGAAAUGUAGGAACGAGAAUAGCAGAAGGUAAUCCAACUAGUCUUAAUGAGCAAGAAUUACAUGGUGUACACGCCGGAAAGUCAUACAGAGAUUCGGUGAUUGGAUUAGCAGCUGGAGCAGGAGAUGAAGGUAGAUGA